GAACGUGUGAGACCAAUGCAAGACGGAUAAUGCUUUUAUCUGAGGGCUGUUGAGGGUCAUUAUCGGAGAAAAUAAUUAAAAAGUACAACUUGAGAGAGAAGGGACACUCACAACAUCAGACUUAUGCUUUGGGAAUUAAAGAGGUCUAGGAAAUUGAUGAGAGCAAACAUCAUCCUGGUUUUGUGCUUCACACAUUGGGUUGGCCUUUGGAUCAAAAGACAUAUGGAGGAUCGUUUAUGUACCAUAUGAAUGAUAGACAGGUUAGAAAGUGCUUUUUUUUUUUGCUUCGUCUAAUUCAUUCUUGACUACUCCAGAAGAAAAAAAUGACUGACCUUAUGAGAACUCAAAAUAAAACAUUUAAUUACUAUAAGUUUCUUUUUUGAUGAGAUCGUUGAGCAUUGUUUAUUGUCUGUGCCACAAGUCUAAUUGUUUUGUUGUAUGUGUGUGUGUUUUCUUUUUUGUUGUAAACUCAUGAAGCGUUAAGUCUUAUUUUUUUUAUUUUUUUUAAUCUUUUAGGUUUCCAUUGGUCUAGCAGUUGCUUUGAAUUAUCGCAAUCCAUUUUUGAACCCUUAUGAGGAGUUCCAGGUAAUCUAGAUCUCUAAUUUCAUGAUGUAAAUGUGGUGAUUUAUUUAUUUUUUGCUGUCUCUUUUAUGACUCUUGGGUAUGAGAAGUUAUUGGGAAAUGAAAGGCUAAUUUUUAAAUUUUGUCUGGAGGGUAUUGUUUCUUUCAUCUUUGUUGGGAACAUGAUAGACCCCUAAUAUGAUUCACGCACAAUAGGAUUACGAGGGGUAAAACUGUGACUUAUUAGAAGGAGAAAGAAUUAGGGGUAUAUUGGUCUUUGUACUUGGUAUGAUG